rnacentral:rRNA from 1 species
CCUACGGGUGGCAGCAGUGAGGAAUAUUGGUCAAUGGGCUUACGCCUGAACCAGCCAAGUCGCGUGAGGGAAGACUGCCCUAUGGGUUGUAAACCUCUUUUGUCAGGGAGCAAUUGGCGCUACGUGUAGCGUUAUCGAGAGUACCUGAAGAAAAAGCAUCGGCUAACUCCGUGCCAUCAGCCGCGGUAAUACGGGGGAUGCGGGCGUUAUCCGGAUUUAUUGGGUUUAAAGGGUGAGUAGGCGGAAUGCCAAGUCAGCGUGAAAAUCGCGGGGUUCAACCUCGCUCCGCCGUUGAAACUGGCGGUCGUGAGUGGGCGAGAGGUAUGCGGAAGGCGUGGUGUAGCGGUGAAAUGCAUAGAUAUCACGCAGAACUCCGAUUGCGAAGGCAGCAUACCGGCGCCCAACUGACGCUGAAGCACGAAAGCGUGGGUAUCGAACAGGAGUAGAUACCCGAGUAGUC